AGAGUUUGAUCAUGGCUCAGAACGAACGCUGGCGGCAUGCCUAACACAUGCAAGUCGAACGCUUGUCCGGCUUCGGCCGGACAGGAGUGGCGCACGGGUGAGUAGCGCGUGGGAACCUGCCCUGUUGUGGGGGAUAACCGAGGGAAACUUCGGCUAAUACCGCAUGCGCCCGGGGAAACUCGGGGAAAGAUUUAUCGCAGCAGGAGGGGCCCGCGUCGGAUUAGCUAGUUGGCGGGGUAACGGCCCACCAAGGCUCCGAUCCGUAGCUGGUCUGAGAGGAUGAUCAGCCACACUGGGACUGAGACACGGCCCAGACUCCUACGGGAGGCAGCAGUGGGGAAUAUUGGACAAUGGGCGCAAGCCUGAUCCAGCAAUGCCGCGUGAGUGAUGAAGGCCUUAGGGUUGUAAAGCUCUUUCGCCCGCGACGAUGAUGACGGUAGCGGGAGAAGAAGCCCCGGCUAACUUCGUGCCAGCAGCCGCGGUAAUACGAAGGGGGCGAGCGUUGUUCGGAUUUACUGGGCGUAAAGGGCGCGUAGGCGGCCCUCCUUGUCGCGUGUGAAAGCCCCGGGCUCAACCUGGGAAUUGCGCGCGAAACGGGGGGGCUUGAGUUCGGGAGAGGAGCGUGGAAUUCCCAGUGUAGAGGUGAAAUUCGUAGAUAUUGGGAAGAACACCGGUGGCGAAGCGGCGCUCUGGACCGAGACUGACGCUGAGGCGCGAAAGCGUGGGGAGCAAACAGGAUUAGAUACCCUAGUAGUCC
rnacentral:rRNA from 1 species